rnacentral:rRNA from 1 species
UGACCUCGGAUCAGGUAGGGAUACCCGCUGAACUUAAGCAUAUCAAUAAGCGGAGGAAAAGAAACCAACAGGGAUUGCCCCAGUAACGGCGAGUGAAGCGGCAGCAGCUCAAAUUUGAAAUCUGGUCCCUCCGGGGCCCGAGUUGUAGUUUGUAGAGGAUGCUUCGGGUGCGGUGCCGGUCUAAGUUCCUUGGAACAGGACGUCAUAGAGGGUGAGAAUCCCGUAUGUGACCGGCGACCAAGCCUAUGUGAAGCUCCUUCGACGAGUCGAGUUGUUUGGGAAUGCAGCUCUAAAUGGGUGGUAAAUUUCAUCUAAAGCUAAAUACCGGCCAGAGACCGAUAGCGCACAAGUAGAGUGAUCGAAAGAUGAAAAGCACUUUGGAAAGAGAGUUAAAAAGUACGUGAAAUUGUUGAAAGGGAAGCGCUUGCGACCAGACUUGCCCGCGGGUGAUCAGCCGUUAUUUUUACCGGUGCACUCGCCCGUGGCCAGGCCAGCAUCGGUUCGGGCGGUUGGAUAAAGGCCCGGGGAAUGUAGCUCCCUCCGGGGAGUGUUAUAGCCCGGGGUGCAAUGCGGCCAGCCUGGACCGAGGACCGCGCUCCGGC